rnacentral:lncRNA from 1 species
AUGCGGCACGUAGGAUGCUGCCCCGCGGCCGUGCGAGCGUGUGCUUCUGCCCGGGCAACCCGGGAGGCUGCCGCUUCCCCGCGGCAUCAAGUUCAUGGCAGGGUCGAGCCGUGGGUGUGCGGAUCCUGGCCACUGAGCUUUGCUGUCAGGUGGCCAAAACCAUGGAGCUGGUGGGUGAGAGGUUCUUCUGCCACUCAGGAAAUGUUUCUGGGGGAAAAAAGAGGGGAUGCUGAGGGAAGGGGGCUGGGAGUGUCCGCCUGCUGCCUGCCCGAGGCUGUCGGGGCUUCUCUCCCCGCUGGUGGGGUUUGCUGUGGGAACAAACGAGGCUGCUCUGGGGCAUCCCCCAGUCUGCUUUUCCCCAGCUCGGUGAUCCCCAGGCACUGGGCUGCUUGCAAAUUCACCCCAUCCAAAGCCUGCCUUUGGGGCAGGAAUGUAGCACAAGGGGACAGGAAAAGUUUAGCGCUCGUUUUCACCCACCCUCAAACACCAUCUGCUCUAACCUCACAGGAAAAUCCCCUUGCUGGGCAGGGAAACCCUCUGCGGAAGUGGAAACGGAGCGUUUGCGCUUGGAAAAUCACAAAGGAGCGAGGGAAGCUUGCACGGGCAAGACAUUUCCCAGAAGCGUGCUGCCGGCAGGUACAGCUCACCAGAGACGGGGUGAGAGCAGCAGCGAUCCCCCCGCUGCAGGCAGAGCACUGCCUGCUCUGCUGCCUGUCCCCGUCCCAGGAGCAGAGCUGGAAACCCACACGAGAAAAAACACCGGGGACUUUUGGUAGGGCAGCGCAGGGUCCCCGGGCUGCAAGUGAUGUUCCCAACAGAUCCCGUGGGGCUGGGACUGAGGACACGGCUCCUGUGCACGUCCCCUGCCCUCCACAGCAGAGGAAGCCCUUGGACCCCGUUAACCCUUUGUCCCACCCAGUGCCACGGGACAGCCCUGAGUGUUGCCAUAUGGGCAGGGGGAUGCGGGCUGGCACGUGUAAACAGGGGCUGGGCUGGGCGCGUUUAUGGCACACUGGAUUGCAGCAUUAUGGAGAUGGUUUGGGAGCGUUCCCAUAG